rnacentral:rRNA from 1 species
UACAGAGGGUGCAAGCGUUAAUCGGAAUUACUGGGCGUAAAGCGUGCGUAGACGGUUAUGUAAGUCGGGUGUGAAAGCCCCGGGCUCAACCCUGGGAAUUGCAUUCGAGACUGCAUAGCUAGGGUGCGGAAGAGGGAAGCGGAAUUUCCGGUGUAGCGGUGAAAUGCGUAGAUAUCGGAAGGAACACCAGUGGCGAAAGCGGCUUCCUGGUCCAGCACCGACGUCA